GUGUUCUGCAAUAAAGUCUUGAAAGAUCUGACUUCAAGUACAUAUGAAAAGCUAAGUUAGCUAACUAUGCAAAUUGUAAAAUGUGCCUCACUAUUUUUAAUGGACUAAAUGAGAUAAUGAAAAUGAAUAUUUAGACAAUGGAACAAACAUUUUUAAUCUUGUCGCUUACUUAUCUGUUGGAUACUGUUUAGCCCUUGCAAAAGGGUACCCAGAAAAACGGGGUCUGCACUUUCCGAGAUCCCAGUUCUUCCUGGGCUCUUUGAAAGCAGCCUGUUCGGGCCCGCAGGCCUCACCCUUCCAAUUCAGGGCAGGUUGUUGUGCGCUACUGCGGUCAUAUCGGGGAAGGAAAGCAGCUCCUUUGUUUCCUUUCCCCCCCUUUAUACUUUCUGGCUGAAACAGACCCACCAUUCCCCCCAAAUCCUUGCUGAAGGAAUCCUCAAAGCCAGAUGUUUUCCAAACACCUGUUUCUUGUGUUUGUUUCUCUCUUCAGGCUGACUAGUCAGUACUGCUGGUACCCUUUCACCCAUUCGGAGAGCCCCCAUUUUAUACUUCCGCUCUCCUUGUCGGACUUGAGCAAAAUGAUGAGCCCCUAAAUGUGUUACGUGGUUAAAGCAAUCAGGUUUCUCUUUAAAAAAAAAAAAAAAAAAAAAAAAAGACAGUUCACGUCUUGUUUCCUCCAAGAUAAUGGAGAUUAAGGCGAAGGAAGAAGAAAAAAGAAAGGGAAACAAAAAGCAAGUGACCCCGACGUGAUUCGAACACGCAGCCUUCUGAUCUGGAGUCAGACGCGCUACCGUUGCGCCACGAGGUCCUGCUGGGCAGGCGCGCGCAGAGCCUUAGAACUCGCCCAUCACGGACCGCCGGUGGGACACGGCCCGGGGGACCUCAGGGGCCGGCGCCGGUGAAGACCCCCUUCUCACUCCCCUAUGGCGACCUCACAGAUUACAACCGCAGGUCUGAGACGCAAAUUGCAAAGUGCAGCACUGCUGCCUUCUAAUUGGAGGCACAGCCUGGACCCCUGGCAGAAGGCUGGACUGACCAAAAUAUCCUCACAGUGCAAUGUGGGAUACCAGGCAACAUAUUUAUGGCUAACGCUGGUACAAAAUCAAGGUACUCUGUGCUAUCACUAAUUUGAAGUAGCCAUUUAAAAUUUUGCCAUGCAACAGUGUCUUGAACUAAAUCAAACCCAUUACACCAGGACAUUCUCUAGUAUAAGCUGCUCAUUCAACCACACUCAAAAAUGAUGCCUUUAUUAAAUACAUUAAGCUUUACACAAACAUGGUUUUGUCUCUUCUGCAGUUUAUGGAGCUGUGUGGAAAGUUUUAACUGGGGCUGGUCUGUGCUAAGGGUAGGACAAAAUGUAGUUAGGGCAGUUCCUUG
rnacentral:tRNA from 1 species